rnacentral:lncRNA from 1 species
AUAUUAAGCAAAUUAUUUUGUCUUCGGAUUUGUUUUCAAUAUCACAAAUUAUUUCAUGUAAAGCAUAUAUACUCAAUUGUUUCCUGUCACGACAUUGUAUAUUUUUCAAUCCACUGUUGACCGCAUAUUCUCGAAUAAAUGCAAAUGAAAAUCACUAUCGGUGAACAAAUAUGAUAAAAAAUAUUGAUGAUCAGGAUGAUAAUAAUAUUAAUAAUUCUUUCUAAUUUUAUCCUAAAACAAGAAACUCAGAGAGGUGGAGGAAGUGGAUUACGUUGGCCUCAAUACGUGACUUGUACUUUAUUUUAUCGACCCCGACAAAUUGAAAGGCUCUUAAUCUUCUGAUUUGGACUGUCGCAAGAAAAGUCGUGAAACACUGUUAAACAAACUAACGAAUCCGCCACGUCGCCGAGCUAAAAUAUGUUAUCAUUUAUACUACAUCUACUAAUAUUAAUAACGUUUUCUAUAUUGAUUUCUACUUGUGGUACAAGGCCAGCAAUUUCUGGGGAGAAGAUUAGUCGAUUACAUCGACCCAGUGUUCAACUAUCAUUUACUUUAUCGAACCUGAAAUGAUGAAAGUCAAAGUUGACUUCGGCGGAUUUGAAAUGAGAAGGAUAAUGAUUGUUUCAGUUAAAAUAUAAAGUUUUCUAAUUAAUCACUCAGCAUUCAUAAAAAUCCUUGAGAGUUGUGCAAGACGAUAGAAUGUGAGUUUCCAUAUAAAACAUGUAAAAAGAAGUAUGAUAGAUUUUUAACAAGGAAUAGUUCCGAGCGACUUGAAUGCCCAAGGAAACUAAGAGCACCUUGGCCACGAGUGCACAUAAAUUUUCCCAGCUAUUCUCCUUCAAUCUGUAGGUGAAUAGCUAAAGUAGAACCGAUCACAUGGACAAUGUCACAGCAGUCUCAGACCUUUCAACAAUUUUGCUGCCUAGCAAAACUUUUCAACUCUCGUUUCCAUUUCGAGUAAAGAGCAAAAAAUUCCUGAGGGCACAGCCAAAUUAGAAUGUGACUGCGUCAUCGCCCUCAGUCUGCUCCUCUAUACAGCUUUUUAAAAAAUAUCACCAGAUUGCAUGUACUUCUUAUGCAAAGGUUGUCACGAGCAUGAUCAUCACAGUGGACUCCGCUGCUAACCAGAUCCAUCUUAUAGUGACUGCAGGUAUACGACAUAACUCAGAAGUGCUUGAGUGCAUGCACACGCUUUCAUGGCACUCACGGCUGAUGGCCCUUUUCUAGCUGCAGAAACAUCCACAGACGACAAUGUUCCUCCGUGGUACAUUGGUCCAGGGUUUCCAGUAUUAUUCCAUAAGCACUAACCCGAACUUCAACUGAAACAGAUGAGUAAGUUCGUGUUUGUCAACGCCUAACAUGUCUCUGUAAACAGCAAUUUCACCCAUUCACAUUCGUAGAAUAUAUGGAGAUGUCACAACUUCAACAAUACGCUAUACCUCAUACGCCACAGCAUUUUCUGUUAUGAAUUUAGCGAGAGUUGGCUGCAAGUGAAGCUCCUGGUCAAUGCAACCUCAGAAUUGAAGCAAUACUCAGGCAAUGGACGGGCUCAUGCAGAACAGUUUCGUCGCUCUGCGUUCAGAUUGGACAAUACUUCUGAGUCUGAAGAAUUUUAUCUGUAACUGAAAAUGUAACCUAGUAGCACUGGCAGAGCAGAGGCUGCUGGAAAUUACCCAUUGGCACCGGCCCAAAUGUCCUGAAAAGAAGUCCAGAUUCAGCGACUGAAUUUUAUUUGACAACUACAGACACUUUACAAUCUCCGUCGUUCUUGCCACUCAAAUGCUCCGGUUUCUACAGUGAUGGGAUAGAAAUUGGAAUGGAAUAUACAAAGAAAACCUGAUGCUUCAACGAAGGAUACGAACUUGGAAAUUAUGGAUAAUAUUUUAUGGGUCAUAUGUAAAACAAUUAAUGAGAGAACUGCUGACUAAGAAAUGCUGUCUGAACAUAAGUUCUGCAAAACAUGAAUGGGCAGAUGGUCUUAGGGGACAUUCCAAUUUAGAAAAUAAGAUAGACAUUCAUCCUUAUUGUUCUCUGAUUGUCUUAAGAGUUUUUGAACUUGUGGGGGAUAAGAAAUAUGCAGACACAAAGAUAGGUUAAAGGAUAUGCUUGAUCUGUGAACUUUCCUAUGUAUCUACUAAUUUUAGUAUGUUUCUUUUAUCAUUUCUUUCCAUUAUACAGUUGUCUUUUUAGAGCAGUUGAACUAUUUCUUGUUUACGAACUAAUGGUAUUUGCUUUUAUUUUAAAUGUGAUAUAUUAAUGAAGUGACUGUAACAGAAUCAACGUGAGGUAUAUAUCUUGUGGAAUAUAUUUUGAUUUGACAGACAGAUUGCGUAUAUAUGUGUUUUUUUGUGUGUAUGUAUGUGUUUGUGCGUGUGUGCGUGAAUAUACGUGUGUAUAGAUAUGUAAACAUUUAACUCUAGAGGCUUUAUUUCUGUUUUGGAAUGAUAUACGUCAAAUCACAAAUUAAUGACACUUCAUUUUCCUCACUAAUAAUUCCAACGGAUAAAGAAUACGAUAUUUUAGUAGUAACUAGCAGUAUAGCCCGGCGUUGCCCGGGAUUAAAUUAGGAUUAUUAAGUGAUGAAGCGCUUUAUUUCAAACCAAUAUUAGUGACACCGACAUUAAAUUUGAGUGAGAUCCGUUGAAAUCGGUAAACGUUUGACGGAAAAUCGGUUGCAGGCAAUUUGAUUGGGAAAUCACGUAAGGAAUCGUUUAUCGAUUAUUUCCACUCAUCGAUUGUUCUUUUUUCCUGAGAACUCAAAGCAUUCAAAGAUCCCAUGAUUCCUAAGUAAUGCUGGCAUCAAGUCUGAGCAAAAUAUGUCAAAAUUGGUAAAAGUUAGGGUUGAAAAUGGGGUGUAGCCAAUUUUAGUGGGAAAUCUUAUUAGGAACUGAUUUAUCAAUUUUUAUCCUGAUUGAAUGGAAAACCCCAAAUGGAUGCCUGCCACCGAUUGUGUUUGGCCUUAGGAUUUGUUGAUGGACAUGGCAAAGCAUGGUCUCACCGGGAAGUUAAACCCCGAGGGAUAAAGCUGCAUCCUUGAAAUGAAAACCUUUUCACCCCUCCCGAACCCUGUAACAAUGGUGGCCUCAAUCAAGUGGGGCGUCAGGGACUUGAUUACGAAGCGGGUCUCGUGUCACUGUUUAAGCGGAAGCAAGUUCCUGAAUUGCAUAAUUGGGAAUCCAACCCUUAGCCUAAGUAUGUGAGGUAGAAGCCCUGCUGCCUUCAAUGAGCUGAGAAACUCGAUAAGGUAAUUGACAAUGUAUUGGGGGUCAGAGGUCCUGUCAAUCGAUUUGUAGAUGCGCUCCUCACUCGGAUCCUGGCCGAGUGCUUAGUUUAAUAUUCUGAUUUCUGAUUCUACCGAGGUUGACUUUCCCUUUCAACCAUUCUGGGUCGAUAACGUAAGUACUACUUGAAUAUUUGUAUCGAUAUAAUUGAUUUUAACUCUCAAAAUUCGAAAACAAAAUUACUUCAGAAUAUGCUUAGUCGCGUGCCAAUGAUGUUACCGCUACUACUGAAAUGAAGUUUGGCCAUAAUCAAUAUAUAUUCUCCACCCCAAAAUUUAUUUUAGCAAUACUAAUAAAGAGGUACUCGACUUGAAUUUGGUCGGACACAUGUCUUUCGCGUGUAUACUUGUGCUAGUAUAUGAACAGUACGUCUUAAGUAUAUUUCUAGACAGAUUCCGACUUCCGCAGUAGUCAAACCUACAGAGUAAAUCUACCACGGGCGUUUUCACAAAAUACAAGAACAUUGUUUUAUGAAAUAAAAUCAAGCCCAGUUAUUUGAAAGUGCUUACAACCAAAGUUGCGUCACCAUAUGUUAUAUAUUAUAUUCAUGUUUCGAAGUAAUUCUAAUUUUUCUAGGAUUUUUUCUCUUUCUUUUCACUUGUUUCAGUAUGCAUUUUCUGCAUGUUAACUAGAGUUUUCCAUACUCGUUCACAUAAAAUUUGAAUGUGCACACUGUGUGGCAUUCAUCCACUCCUCAGUAAUAUGACAAAAUAAAAUUUGAAAUAGGGAGCGAAGUUUUUUAAAAUGACAUGCUAUUGUUACACUCAACUUAACAUCGAAAGACUUAUAUAUACCAAUAUAAUUGCCAUUUUUCAUUAUAUACAGAGGAAAGUGUUUCUAUAAUAUUUCAGUCAUUUUUCGUUAAAAAAAAUAUGUAGUAAAGAUAUUCCACACCCCAAUUGUCUUUUUCUCCAUCAACAAAAACAACAACAACACAUACACACAUAAAUUGGACAAUUUUACUGUAUAAGUAUGAGGGAAAAAAGUAAAAUAAUUUAUUACCGGUGGUUCCCACACUUAAUAAAAAUCAUAAGACAAACUAUUUUUAUACAUAAGAAUUUAUUAAGAUUUAUACACGGAGAGAAGACCCUUGACAGGAUCUCUUACAUAACUAAUAAGGGCAGUUAAACCCAAAAGCACGAAUAAAUAAAAGGAAUUCUUAAAGCACAUCCACUCCACGAAAAAGAGGAAUUCUUAAGGCACGCUGCCUAGUGACUAUUAGCAGCGUACACUAGAGUCCCUAUUUGCAGCGUGCCUUAAGAAUUACGUUUUUCUGUGAUUUGGGUUCAACUGCCAUCUUUAUCAUGAAAGAAGUCCCGUCAAGUGUCUUCUCUCCUUGUAUAAAUCUUCAUGUCUGUAUAUAUAUAUAUAUAUGUAUAUAUCGUAAUAGAUAUGUAUAUAUAAGUAUAUGCAUUUACAUAAACAUAUAUCCAUAUUCAUGUCUGUGUGUAUGUGCCUAUUUGUCUCUGAGAGAGUGUUUGCAUGUAUUUCUGUGUGUGCAUGUUGAUAUAAAUGCCGAAAUUUUCUUCACAGACAUUUUAUCUAAACAAUGAAAAGACUAUGCAAUAAAUUUAAUUUUCCUGACUAGACGACUAGUUUUACCAGUUACUUCACAUUAGUUGUAAAUAUAUUACAGACGAAAUACAAGCGUACACAAUAUUUCAAACAAAACACAGUUACAUAUAAUUGAAACUAAUAGAUAUUUGUCUACGUUAAACUUCUUUCUAUGUCUUUUGUAUUCGUUAUUAUUUUCUACUUAGCUCUCCCAUUUACUAUCUUUCCCGUAUACACUCUGCUGCGUAAUUUGUGUAAUCACUAUAUUUCUAGAUUGCUUGCAAUAUAACGGACUCAUAAACUUUAAAAUGAAUAUGAAAUCUGACUGGGAAAAUUUUCAAGAUCUUUAGGAAAUUCGAUUUUAUGUGUGGAUGGAUCCUCUGUACUUAUAUAGACACAACCGUAUACAUAUCUUUAUUUAGGACCUAACAAUAUUCCGCAUUAUAUAUAUAUAUAUAUAUAUAUAUAUAUAUAUAUAUAUAUAUGUAUGUAUGUAUAUACAUAUAUAUAUAUAUAUAUAUAUAUAUAUACAUAUGCAUGCAUAUAAUACAUGCAUACAUACAUGAUUGAUUGAUUGAUUGAUUGAUUCUAGUUUCAGCUUAUGAGCUGUGGCCAUGCUGGGGCACCGCCAUUUGGUGUUGCUACUUGGUUUCACUUCAUGGAGGCUUUCUAGCAACUGCUAUUUGGUGCAUGAGAGAGUUCGAUGCAGCUGCCCUCAUCUGCCCCUCCUGCCGUGAAGUUGGUUCAUCUGGGACACCUGACAGGAAGAGAUCCAGCUUCAUUUUAAAGACAUCUGUAUCCACCCCAUGCAGGUCUCUCAGGUUCUUCGGGAGGAUAUUGAAGAGCUGUGGGCCUCGGAAGCCCAGGCUAUCACAGUAUCUUGUCCUACAUCUUGAUGGCAGGUUUGGAGUCCUAGGCACCACGCAGUGGCGCCCAGUUCUGGCAUUUGCGUAACUCUCGAUGCCAAAGUUCAGGACACUUCCCUCCAGGAUCUUCCAGAUGUAUAUUAUGGCAUAUCUUUCCCGCCUACGCUCCAGGGAAUAUAAUUUUAAUCUCUUGAGUCUUUCCCAGUAGCUUACAUUCUGCAUAGAGGCUAUCUUCUUUGUGUAGCUUCGUUGGAUCGCCUCAAGUUCUGUGAUCAACUUGACACUGGAUGGUGACCAUAGCUGAGAGCAAUAGUCAAAGUGGCUUAGGACAAGUGUCUUCCAGAGGACCAUCAUGGUUUCUUGUUCUCUUGUUCUAAAGGUUCUAAGAAUCCAUCCAGCCAGCCGUCUACAUUUCAUUGUCAGUUUAGCAACAUGUACAUGAAAGGUCGCGUCAUCACUCAUGUGAAUACCCAGGUCACGCACUGAUUGUGCCUCUGGGAUUGCAAUCCCUCCGGGUCCAGUGUAUUCAUUGGGUAUUGCAUUCAGUUUUGCAUGCUGAUAGUAUAAAGCUUGAAACUUUCCAGCAUUGAACUGCAUGCUAUUCUUUUCAGCCCACUUGUAUAUUUCGUCUAGCUCACAUUGCAGGUGUUUAGUGUCCUCAGGGUUCUGUAUUGCCUGUGAAACUUUUGUAUCAUCUGCAUAACUUGUGAUCGUGGCUCUCUGCGUGGCUGAGGGCAUGUCUGAGAGGGCCAUUAUGAACAGUAGUGGUCCCAGAACAGUGCCCUGCGGAACACCGCUCACUAUUUGUGUGUUAAUGGAGGUGGCCCCAUUGGCUACUACCACCUGACUUCUAUCCUUCAGAAAGUCAUGAAGCCAUUCUCCCAGUUUUCCAACUAUGUUGAGAUCACGCAGUUUGUGACAUAUCAUUCCAUGAUCGACUUUAUCAAAGGCCUUUGCAAAGUCGAGAUAUAUCACUUCCACAUUUGAGUGGUUGAGCGGCCGUUUCAGCACCCAGUCAUAGUGUUGUAGGAGCUGAGUUAAACAGCUUCUCCCUGGUCGAAAACCAUGUUGGGUGUCGGGCAGCAAGUCAUUCUCUUCAAGGAAGGUGAUCAGCUUCCUUCUGACUAUUCGUUCCAUGACCUUGCUGAUGUGUGAGGUCAGAGAGAUAGGUCUAUAGUUCUUGGCUUCCGCUCUGCUACCUCCUUUAUGAAUGGGGCAUAUUUUACCUUCCUUCAGUUUUCCUGGAAGUUUGCCAGUUGCAAGGAAGCUCUGAAAGAGGAACUGCAGUGGUCUUGCUAGGACUCUCUUACAUGCUUUUAGGAGGAUUGCCGGGAAUCCAUCGGGGCCAGUAGCUGAGUCUGUUUUCAUUUCAUCUAUAGCCUUGGUUACAUCGUCUUCAUUUAUAUCGAUGUAAUCUAUCGUCGCCGCCUCUGAUUUUAUAUCUACAGUGGUAAAAAAGUCAGUUGGAUUGGUGAUUUGGAGAUGCCCAAGGGGUGGAGUGAAAACACUCUUGAAUUGCUCAUUCAGUAUUUCACUUACCCUCAUUGGUUUUCCUGUAAGUGUGCCAUCCUUUUCGAGGAGUGGCCCUAUUCUACAGUGCACUGUAGCUGUUUCUUUGGCAUACCUGUAGAAAGCUCUGGGGUUAGAUUUUAUGUUUUCUAUAGCCCAGGCUUCUUUGUCUGCUCUUUCUUUUUCAUGGGAGAGUUGCAGACAUUUUUCGAUUUCCAACAGUUUUAUUUUUAGGCGGGACUUUUCACUGCUUUCAAUCUGUUUGUUUAGGCGAUUUGAAAAUUUCGUACGCCGUCUCAUUAAAAUUUUCCUCUCUCUGGGGAUUUUGUUCUUGUGUACAGUGGCCUUUCUCUCUGGGACACAUUUGUAGCAUAUGGCUUGCAUUACAGACAUGAAUUGUUGAAGUUUCACGUCGAUGUCUGGCGAGGAGAGACAUUCAGGCCAGUUUUGUUUGAGGAUCUCUUUCUCAAUUUGUUUCCAGUUUGCCUUAUGGUAGUUCAAGCUGGAAAGAUUUUGAGGGUUUCUUGUAGGCUGCAUGUCCGUGCUCUCUUUUGGCCCGUACAUGGUCAGCUCUACCAUGUUGUGAUCCGAGAGUAGUGUCGGUGUCACUUUCACAUUAUGGAUGAGAUCCAUGUCAUUUGUGAAGCAGAGAUCCAGUGUGUUACCUGCCCUGGUUGGUUGGAGUAUUACCUGCUCCAUGUACAGGGUGUUGAUGAGGUUCAGGAGGGACCUCGCCUGUCCUCGUUCACAUCUUGUCAUUCCUGGGAGAGAAAGGCCCUCGGGCCAUCUGACAUUGGGCAGAUUGAAGUCUCCCAUAAGAAGCACACCUAUGUGUUGUUCUAAUGUGGUUAGAAUUUCUUCUAUUUUUAUAAGGCAGUCUUCGAACUUGCCCACAUGGCUUGGGGCAUCUGGAGGGCGAUAUGUAGCACACACAACUACAUCAAGUUGCCUAAUAUGUACAAUUAGUGUGUCACACACCGAGUUUGAGUAUGACAAGAGGACCUGGGGUGUGAGGUCCUCACGGAUGUACAUAGCAACACCUCCAUGACUCCUUUCUUUCCUGUCGGUCCGUAGUACAGCAUACUGUGGUAUGUGUAACUCCGCAUCUGCUAUGUCCGGUUUCAGGUGCGUUUCUGUAAGUGCUAUGCAUAAGGCUUGAUUGCAUGCAACAAAGUCUCUCAGGAACGGGAUCUUUGUCCUGUUACUGUUAUAUAUAUAUAUAUAUAUAUAUAUAUAUAUAUAUGUAUAUAAUACAUGCAUACAUACAUACAUAUAUAUAUAUAUAUAUAUAUAUAUAUAUAUAUAUAUAUAUAUAUAUAUAUAUAUAUAUAUUUAUUUAUAUAUAUGUAUAUGUAUAUAUAUGUAUAUAUAUAUAUAUAUAUAUAUAUAUAUAUAUGUAUAUUUAUAACAAUAAUUAAGGGUUUAGCAACAAGUUGCUUAACCACAUACCGAAAAAUAACGGCCUCUUGGCUACUAUUUCUAAAUUUUCCGGUAUUUGGUUAGACAACUCAUUGCUAAACCCUUAAUUAUUGUUAUAAUUAUAUAUAUAACUUCUUGUAUAAGAUUUUACCGAAUAUAGUUCCUUUCCAUACCGAAACUACUUGGUGAAAUUUAUUAAUUAUAAAUUAAUAAUUUUUUACCCUAUACCUAUAAUAAAUAUAUAUAUAUAUAUAUAUAUAUAUAUAUAUAUAUAUAUAUAUAUAUAUAUAUAUAUAUAUAUAUAUAUAUAUAUAUAUAUAUAUAUAGAUAUAUCUAUAUCUAUAUAUAAAUAUAUAUACAUACACACACAGCCACACGCGCACACACACACACAUUCAUACACAUACACACACACACACAUAUAUAUAUAUAUAUAUGUAUGUAUAUGUGCGUAUAUGUGUAUAUAUAUAUAUAUAUAUAUAUAUAUAUAUAUAUAUAUAUAUAUAUAUAUCAGUUAUUUGCAGGAGUCACUUGAAUCAAGGAAUUAUAAAAUUCAAGGAACCAAGUGAAUGUCGUACACCUCCAUGUACAAGUAUAUUUACACACAAAUAUGCACAUACAUAUGAAUAUACAUACACUUCAAAUAUAAAUCCAUGCACGCAAGCCUGCAAGUUUAUGAUCCAAAGAAAGUUCAAGAUCUAAGACACGGUUAAUUUUUUGCAUAAAACACAAAUAGCUUAAAAUCUCUGUACAGUCGUUUCAGGCAUGAUUUUCACUGCUGAAUUUUUCGAUUACGUCAUGAUAUCAUCGUUUUCUUCAGGUGCAUUGAAAUUGAAUAUUUGAUUCGGAUAAAAAUAUACCAAGAGAUGUGGAAUAAGAAACGAUCUCACAUUUGGGCAUCAUAUUUUCAAUGAUGCCUAAAUAGCUGAGUCAACUUUGAUUCCUUAAUUUGUGGGGAUUCUUUUUUCUCCGAAACAUUUAAAAUUUUUGACUCACCUGAAAAAAGCGGUGUGAUCAAGGUGUAAUCGAAUUAUUCGUCAAUAAAAACGUAUCUGAAACAUCUGUAGAGAGACAUUAACGCAUUCGUGUUCUUACAUAUGUAUGUAUUUAUGUAUAUGCGUAUAUAUAUAUAUAUCCUUCCGGUCAUUCAAAAUGUGACCGUGUGUUUACCGUUGACGAUUUCUUUGCAUCUGUCUUCCCUUCUCUGGAUCUCUCCUUCUCCUAUGUUUCCGACGAAGAGCUCCGCUCAAAACGUUACACCCUCCUUCUUUCCUGAGCGUCCAAUAAUACUAUAUUUGUUCCACGUCCUCGUGUUGUGUUUUUUUUUUGUGCUUUCAUGUUUGGAUUAACUAUAUAUAUAUAUAUAUAUAUAUAUAUAUAUAUAUAUGUAUAUAUGUGUGUGUGUGUGUGUGUGUGUGUGUGUAUGUGUGUGUGUGUGCGUGUGUAUGUGCAUGCAUAUGCGACAAAGGGGAACCUGCUUGUAAAUAACAUUAAAAAGAAAACAAUACUAAAGAGAAAAGUGUAUGAACUUUCCCGAAUGAGUGUUUAUGUAGAAACAGUAUAUUCAUAUAUGUAGUUUAAAACCAGUACACAUAUAUAUGCUUACAUAGAAAGAACUAGCAACACUCUUAAAACGGUUGGAGAAAAACAAGGCUGCAUUCAUUUUCUCAUACCUGUGAGACACAGUGUAUAUCAAUCGCAGGCCGCAUAUUUUGAAAGAGUAUAUAAUAUUCAAUGUUAUAUCAAUCCUUUAUUUACACAAAAAUAAACUUUAAAUUUAGUAAGCAUUUAUAAUGCCAAGACUACUUUGACGUUCUCCUGAAUUAUGAGAUAAUUGUAAUAAUUACAUCACUACUUGAACGAUACUACGGAAUGGAAAGUCAUAUAAUGCAUACUCAAAAGCAUAUUUCUAUUUAAAAGCUACACAUGAAAUAAUAUAUUAUAAUGACAAAGUAAUUGAUAAACCCUCAGAGAUUAAUUUAACACGUAACCAAAGACUUACAAGUUCAUUACUGGGAUGUAGCAUGAAUAUAUAAUAUUCAAUGUCAUAUCAAUCCUUUCUUUACACAAGAAUAAACUUAAAAUUGGGGAAUCAUCUAUGCUGGCAAGAUUGUUUUGAUGUCUUCCUAUGAAUCAUGCCAUAAUUGUAAUAAUAAUUAUGUAUCUAUGAUUAUUUAUUUAUAUCGAUACGUUAUUUCCUCGUAAAUUCUCUUAGAGUUUCAGUAUCAUUAUUGGUAUUCUUAAAGUGUAUCAGUUAUAUCACUGCCUGCCUUAAUUAUAUAAUCUCAUAACAACGGAUUUGUUCGGUGCCGUAGCUGAAGGGAGGAGAAAGUGACUAUAAAAUAGACAUAUUUAGCCUCAUUAUGGCAAAUGUGGAAAACGAUUGGUAGAGUAACAUCAAGAUAAACACAUGGUCCUGUCAAAUAAAUAACGGGGCUAUAUUUUGAUAGAUAUAUCUAGGGUUAUGCAGAUAUAUACAUAUUAGUGUGAAACAAGAGAAUAUGUAUAAGUGUAUAAGGAAUGCAUGGCUGUUAAAAAUGUCGAUUUAAUCUAAAUCUAUGAAGUGAGAAAAAUCGACAACAGUAUGUCUGUCAGUAUAUAUAUGCGUGUACAUGAAUAUGAAUGUGCGUAUGUAUUUAAGGCUGUAAGUAAUUUGGGGUUAUAAAUGCAUAAAUGCACGUGUAUGGGUGAAAGGGUGUAUAUGUAUACAUAAUUAUGUACAUACAUAUAUAAGUACGUACAUAGAUAGAGACAGGCAGACAGGUAUAUAUAUAUAUAUAUAUAUAUAUAUAUAUAGAUAGAUAGAUAGAUAGAUAGAUAGAUAGAUAGAUAGAUAGAUAGAUAGAUAGAUCACUAGCCACUACACAUUCUUUAUUUUCUCUCCUUGUUUCUUUCUGUGUUCCUUUCUGAGGAAGAGCGUAGGAUCGAAACGUUAAAGAUUUUUUCAAUUCCCGAGCAUUAAACUAACAUAUCUCUUUGUUGUCUACACCACCUGUGUUCGUCUUUUGUUUAUUUUUUUUUUUUGUGAAUUCUCCGUAUAUAUAUGUGUGUGUAGAUAGAUACAUCGAUAGAUGGAUAGAUAGAUAGAUAGAUAGAUAGAUAGAUAGAUAGAUAGAUAGAUAGAUAGAUAGAUGGAUAGAUAGAUGGAUAGAUAGAUAGAUAAACAGACAGAUAGACAGAUAGAUAGAUGUACCAGAAUUUGUUGGGGUGGGGUGUGAAAAUGCACCUGAAUUUGAAAAAAAUCUAUUUUAAAUAGAAAUAUUCACAUACGUACCACACCAGUUUCAACAUUGUUUUGUAUAUCAAUGGUACAUAUGUAUAUAAAACAUGGGAAUAUUAACAGAUUUUAAAAUUUACGAAGUAGAAAUCGAACAAACAAGAUUAAAAGAUCAAUUGUUCAUAUAAAAUUCAAUAAGUUUCACAGGGAUAGAUACUUUCAAAGCAAAUAAUCUGCGUUGAAGCUAGUUUGCUAUAUAUGCGAAUAAAUUUAGUUAAAAAUAAGUGUAGGUAUUUCAAAUUCAAAUGCAUUUUCAAACCCCGGAAAUAAAUGCUCCUAUAUUUUCCCCUCUCAGGGAAAUACAGCUCUUCUCUAUUUCUAUCUCUCUCUCUCUCUCUCUCUCUCUCUCUGUAUAUAUAUAUAUAUACAUAUAUAUAUAUAUAUAUAUAUAUAUAUAUAUAUGUCCGUGUGUGUGUGUUUGUGUGUGUAUGAAUAUGUGUGUGAUUGUGCGUUUGUAUGUGCGUAUGAGUGUGUGUAUGUAUGUGUGUAUGUGUGUUUAGUUAUAAUUAUUUCUGUGUAUACAGCAAGUAAAUGGACAUAUAAUAUGUAUAUAUAAGACUGCAGCCGAGUAUAUUUCCGUCUGUGACAUAGCAUCUUUUUAUGACUAAUUAAGCGACUGUGAUGAGAAAUAUGUACAACUGAAAUUAAGUUUACGAACGGAUAACAAAGAAAUUGAUAUCCCGUUGGGGUACUAAGGUGACCACGCGUCCUUUGAAGAAAAACAAUUACCGACAAAACAGGUAACGAAGCCUUCUAGUAUUAAUCUGCUUUCAUAAAGUCGAGACAUGAUAAGAAAAGACUGAAAUUCAUGUUUUUUUUCAAAUUUAUAUUGAAUACUUUUGAUUUUUAUUCCCAUUGACUGAUAUUAAUCUCUUUAUCCUAUAAUUAUAUUUGACUUAUUUCCAUUACUUUAAUUGGAAUUUUAUGACUAAUGUGUAUUUUAAUCGAUGUACCAAAAUUUAUCGAGAAAUUGCUCAAGACAAAAUGGAUACAGAGCAAUCAGAAAUUGGAUGGGAUCCACCGUUGUUCACAAAACCACUUACGUGAAUGCGUAAGUAUACACAGCUACAAUGGCUCAUAUUUAUAUAAUACUUAUGUAAUAGUAAAAUAUGGAAAAUUCAGCAACAAAAAGCUGUUGGUAACAGAAAAAAGUUGUGAUUUGUGAUUAAAACCUGUUCAGUCCAUCUUCUUGCAUAAUAAUAUUUUUAUAUGCACUCUACUUACACUAACGGAUUUUCACGUGUAUACUGAGAAAAACAAAUUAUGCUUGGGGUAUGAUGGCAUAUGGUAACCCUGUAACCCAGAAGAGCAUAGAAAUGAACGUUAUGAGGUUUUUACUUGGAUGUUAUUAAAUAAAUAGGCGGCGAGCUGGCAAAAACGUUAGCACGUCGGGCGAAAUGAUUAGCGGUAUUUCGUCUGUCGCUACGUUCUGACUUCAAAUUCCGCUGAUGUCGACUUUAUCUUUCAUCCUUUCGGGUUCGAUUAAAUAAGUACCAGUUACGCACUGAGGUCGAUAUAAUCGACUUAAUCCGUUUGUCUCUCUUUGUUUGUCCCCUGUGCGUCUAUCUCCUUGUGGGUAGUAAAGAAAUAGAUAUUAAAUAAAUACAAGUAUCAGUGUGCGUGCGUUUGCGAAUAUGGAAAUAUAUAUAUAUAUAUAUAUAUAUAUGUAUAUAUAUAUAUGUGUGUGUGUGUGUAUGUAUGUGUAUGUAUGUGCAUACAUCUAUACAAAUAGACAUUUAUAUAUAAACAUAUUUCUAUAGAUUAUUGGAUAUAAAUACGCUGAAGAUAAUUUUAUACGAAAACAAGACUGUACACGUGUGAAAUUAUACGUAUAUAUAUAUAUGUGUGUGUGUGUAUAUAAACAUAUAUCAAUAUAUGUAUGUAUAUAUAUAUAUAUAUAUAUAUAUAUAUAUAUAUAUAUGUGUAUAUAUAUAUACAUAUACACGCAUUUAUGUAUGAAUGUAUAGUAAAUACUGGAAGAUAAUGGAUUUUCUGCAUUUAUUGAAGGCUUACAAACACCUCAGAUAAAUAUUGGAGGAAAUUAGUUCCAUAGUUCAAUCGUAUAAACCGGUCGAUCUUGGUCGAUUAACCGACAAAGUAGAGCACAAUCACCCACCCUUAAUUCGCUUCGAGCCAUUAGGAAAUCUCAGGCAAAAGAAAUGAAUUUGAUCAAGAUGUUCGUAGUUGAAAUGUAGGUCAUCAAUUUUAAGCUAGCAUCUGACCAGUACUGGAAAGCUAAACAUCUGUAUAUAUUUUCUAGAUUAUUCGGUUGCAACAUACAAAUUCAUUUUGGUAAAUGAACCUCGGAUUUACAAAUUCGACUUGCAACAGGUUUGAGUUGAGAUUGCCUGGAUUCAAACAGUUAUCAAUAACAAGACAUCGAUCUAUAACAGGGUAUAUCUAUGAGCGUGGUCUCUCUUUAAAUACAGAGGAAAAUUCGACUAGUAUUACCAGCCCCUUCUUAGUUUAUAUAUAUAUAUAUAUAUAUAUAUAUAUAUAUAUAUAUAUGUGGGGGGGGGGGGGGGUUUGUGUGGGUGUGUAUAUACAUAGGGCACAGAAAGUGUGUCAAUAGCAAGCUGGAGGAGGUUUCGUCCUAGGGCUACAAGCUACAGUAGCUCCCACCCUUAAGUGGCAAAAUUACUUCACGAUGUCGUGCAGCUACUGUUUGUACUACGCUCAGAGAUUUAUUAUUGCUUGUUUACACUUUUUCGAGAUUAGUGGCUUUUCGUCACUAGAAAAGAUAUAUAUAUUUUUAUUGGGAACCACUUCACAUCGAGAACCCAUGAUUGUCACACGCUGAUGACGGAUCAUUACCAAGAAACUCGGGUCCGUGUGUAUCAUGUCAGGAUGGAGAUGGGACGGAAUACUUUCCUUUGCAAAUACUGAUAGGUCACAGAAUGUGUGUCAAUAGCCAGCUGGAGGAAAUGUCCUCCUGGGUUUACAAGCUACAGUAGCACUCACCCUUAAUGGGUAGCCACAUUUAAGUGGGAAAUAUACUUCACGAUGUAAUGCAGCUACUGUAUAUACCUCGUUCAGAGAUUUAUUAUUGUUUGAUUACACUUUUUGGAGAUCAGUGACUUUUUGUCACUGGAAAAAUGAUAUAUAUGUUUGCAUUGGGAAUCACUUCAUAUCGAGAUUUAUAUAUAUAUAUAUAUAUAUAUAUGUGUGUGUGUGUGUGUGUGUGUGUGUGUGUAGUUGAAAAAUAUUAGAGAUAUAUACAAAACAAAAUUUUAUAUAUAACAAAUGGAGAUGGAUAUAGCAGAGGAGACAAUAUAAGACAUUUCAGUUCAGAAGGAAUUUAAUAAAGCGAUUUAAAAAUUAUAUAAAGAAAAUAUAGAAUAUUACCGGUUUCGAUGAUGAAUCUCAUUUUGUGAAAUAUUAGUAAAUAUUUGUAAUAGUUUGAAGUAAAAACAGUUUCUCUUUUGUUUGGGGUCAAAACAUAUCGGCAGAUUUUUCAUUGACGUCUUCUUUAAAUAUAGUUUGGUAUAGAGUGCAAGGUGUUAGAGAGGGUGUCCUUUUAGUAUCUUUGGAAUGUGACGAGAUGUGUGUCAAUGGAGGUGUAUGUUGUGAUGAAUGCCUUCUUAAAGUAACUAUUAAGAUUUUCAUUUCGUUUUGAUGUUUUAUUUUGAGUGUCUCCACCUGCGUGCAUGUGUGUGUGUAAUGUUUUCAUUUGGGUGUCUCUAGUUCUCUGUGUGUGUUUUCGCGAUGUUUGCAUCUGUGUGUGUUUAAGUGUGUGCAGAGAUGGGUGUGUGUAUGCACAAACACACACAUAUAGAUACACAAAAGAAAGUAUUGCGAACAAACACACAAGUGGAGACACAAAAGAAAACAUCGAACUCAAAGGAAGAUCCUAAUUCUUUCUAGUAUGUAUAUAUGUAUGCAUGCAUGCAUGCAUGUAUGUAUGUAUGCAUCAAUAUAUGUAUAAAACACCAACGAUCAGUGAAGUGUGGUAUAGAGUUGAAGGUGUUAGAGAGGGUGUGUAGUUGUCUAAUGUCUAAAAAAAAUCUCUGUGAGUUCCGGUCAAGGGAAUGAAUGAAAAAGAAUUAUACAGUAACAAACACACGGUGAUUUAUGGCAAAAACUAAAAGUAUUCAAAAAAAUAAUAGAAUGUGUCAUAGCAAAAAUACACACAAUUAAUCAAAAUUGUGUUUAUUUUCAAAAUAAUGAGGAUAAGCUGGAGGAUAAGUUAUCGAAACAGAAACCAAGGCGUAGAAAAUAUAGAAUACGCCGCAAAUGAAAGGAAAAAUAUAACAGAACGAGGAUAUAUGGAAUACGUUACCAUUCUGCGGUGUUUGUCAAUAAAUUACGAUAAAAGAAUGUGGCAAGAAAGUAGAUCAAAACAACGUCACAAAAUAAUUAACUAAAACGAUAUAUGAUUAAGAAGAAAUUUAACAAAGAGCAACACGAUUUUCCUGCAUCAAGAAAUGAUUAAAUGCUUUCCACCUUGUGGCACAAGGUCAGUAAGUUCGUGUGAGUGAGUAAGUCAACUCAGAAAAGAUGAAAGAAAAAGUGAAUCUCGGUGGAAUUUGAAGUCACCAUGUAAGUAAAAAACGCUGUGAGGUAUUUUGCCCGGGUGCUAACCAUUCUGCUAGCUCACCGACUCACAAGAAAUAUCUUCACACUUUACAAUAAAUGGCACUGUAGAGCCAGUGUAAUUCAGAUACCAGAGAAUUUUAAGCAAGAACGGAAUGGAAGAUAACUAUUCACCAAAACGUACUUGCUAAAAUACCAAAGAUGUUUUAGCGGUCUCUCUAAUGAAUUACAGCAAAAAAUUUCUAGAUUAUCACAAUCUUGAAUGAUGUAAUUGUCUCCUUAGAAAUUGGAAUAUGAGCAUAAAAUUAAGAAGGUAUGACACUAACAAGAAAUAAACAGUUACAUAUAAACGGAAAAGUGAUUGUGUGCAUAUGUGUAUAUAUAUACGUGUGUGUAUGUGUGUCCGUGUUAGCGCGCGCGCGUGAGUGUCUGUACGUGUGUGUGUUUUUGUGUAAACAGUAUAGGUCGCACAUACAUGGUGUAUGCGUUUUGUUUAUAUACCCAUUUGCUGUGGUAUAGCGUCCUAUGAAAGUUUUCUACAUUAUGCACGAUGUUAAACGACAACAAAAAAACAGAGUAUUUGGAAGAACUCGCCGGGAAUAGGUGCGAAUGGUACAUGUCGAUAUAUUUGCCAUUAUUGUAGUUGAUUAAAACCAUAUAUUCGGAUCACCUAGGAAAGAAGUGAAUCACUAGCCUGGGACGUAUUUUCAAAUUGAUUGAACUGUAUUUGCUGAUAUGCUGCGACAUGGGAAAUGUAAUCAAAAAUUAUAUUACAAAACAAAAGCAGCUCUACAACUGUAAACAUUAGCAGUCGCACAUUCGGAGUGUAGGUCUUUUCUUUAUACAUCCAUUUACUGCGGGAUAGAGUCCGGGAAAAGCUCCCUUCGCUAUGCAGGAGUAUUAAAGAAAAACCGAAUGUCCAAAGCCAGGCGAGACAACCUGCAACGAAAGACCGACACUGGUAGAUACGAUAUUUCACCAUUAUUGUGGCUAUCAAAAUACAUAGUUUUGAUAAGUCAGGAUAAUGGCGAAAUAUCAUUAUCAACUGUUCCCAUUUAUUUAAGCUGCAUUCUAUGGAUAGAUACUGGACUUGCUUUUAAUUCGUAAUGCACACACGUACAUAUACAUACACUAAUAUAUAUAUAUAUAUAUAUACAUGUAUGUAUUUAUAUAUAUAUAUAUACACACAUGCACAUUCAUACAUACAUACAUACAUACAUACAUACAUACAUACAUACUGAAUUGAUUGCAUCGCAAUCAUUAAUAUUUAUGUAUUAACUUUUUUGGGUACUUCAAUAACAGUAUAUUGGAUAUAAGUUAUCCCAUAGAGGGUUGCAUUUACAACCCCUAUUUCAAUUUGUAUAUAUAUAUAUAUACUUCAUAUCAAGAAUAAAAUCAUAACUUGUAGAAGUUUCUUUAUAUUUGGAAAUGGAAGAUACGGAACAGGAAUCAAAAGAAAGCAUCCAAAUAACGAUAGAAAGACACCACACCGUGAAUCACGCCUUAUUGUUGCCUCGAUACAAUGUGAUUUUCCAAUAAAAAUAUAAGCGCUUCUGCAAGGAGUUGAAAAUAUUCGAAUAAAUAGCAAAUUUUUUUUACAGGAAAUAAAUAUGAGGUAUAAAUUCUGGAUGCCACAUAACGUGUUGAGAGGUAUAAGUAUAUUUCAAAUAUAUCGAGGGAGGAUUGGGAACUCAUCCAUUGUCUUCAAACUAUUAUUUGUCACACGUGUGCGGUGGGAUUAAAAACUGUAAUAAAUAAACAUGCAUCUCCUUUCAUAUAUCCCUUGGUACAUAGAAUUCGACAAAAAUAUAGGUAGGAAUCUUCAGGGUGUCAUAAAUUUCCAUUAUUGUAAGCAGUUAUCACGAACUUUUGCAUCAUCUUCAUUGAAAUCAAGUAGUAACAACAUGUGAUCCAGAAUGUGAAGACUCUAAAUUCUAGGACGGAAGCUGUUUGAUUACAGCUUAUAUAUAUUUUAAUUUCAACAGAAUUAUAUCCAUAGAAAUGGUACCGGAAUUUAAUAUUCCCGUUUUAGUAGCAAAUAUCGUGCAUAGCAGGCGCGAUACAAAAAGUUGCAUCAUUUUUUUCGAGUAUUGAAAAGCGUUCAAGAAACUCUCCCAUUUUUGUAUAUUUGAUACAUCGUACAAAUAUUUCCUGUAUUAUUAUGCUAUGUCAACAAGAUAGUGUCAAAAUAUUAGUCAACCCUUAAAUUAAGAAGAAAACAGGAUUAAACCGGUCUUAUCUAAAAAUAUAUAAAGGUCAUGUAAAUAUAAAUAUUUCCUGUAUGCUGAUGAUUGAAGACCACUUAGAAACCCCAACUCAAAAGUAUGCAAGGCGUUGUUCGUAAAGUCAAAAUGGAUAUGCUACUGAUUACGAAGCUCGAAAUAUCUGUCAUUAAUAUCUAUAAAGCUGAAAUGCGAAAACGUUCUUUGAUUUCUUGGUUAUUCGUCUCAUUUUAGGAUGGUAACAGUUUAAGGGGCGGUACAUGGGGUCGGAUUGGGGCAGAAAUUUACACUAGGGGUAAAAUGCGGUGUGCAAUGAUGUGAGGAGGUUUGCAAGUCGCUCGGGGCUACCGUUUGGUUGCCAUGGUGAGGAAUAGGGGGAAAAUUGUGUUUUAUGGUAUAGGCAGGUUGCGCUGUUUGAAUAAUGGUGGCUUUUCAUGUUGCUGCAAGUGCUAAAGGCUAAGCACGCGUCAAAAUAGCUAGCCAGUAUUAUAAACCUAAGUAAAAUAUUAAAGCUGGAAAUAUCGUAUUACAUUCUAACUAUGCAAAACUAACUCUUCCACAAAUACUUAUAAAACUGAGACGGUAGAACACAGAGAAGUUAGAUCAUUACAGAACAUUCCACCAAAUGACUCAGAUUAACACUAAAAAUGUACUGGAAAUAUAAAUACACUAGCAAUCAGUUCAUAAAAUACAGAUUCAACUAUUUUAUUGCAAUGAAACCUGAAAACAUCUAAGAACGUUUAGAAAUCAUCAGACUAAAAAAAAAAACAGAAUGGAACUUUAUAUAAAGUAGUAUUUCAAAAUAACAGUGGGUGAACGAAGAUAAAGCGAAUUAGCCAAGCGAAAAUUAAUGUAAUUAAAGAACAAAAAAUUCAGCGCCAAUUUCCUCGGUAUAUAGUGAAAGGUUAUAGUACAAAUUAGAAAGUAACAAUAGUGAUGACAAGGAUUUAAAUUACGCAAUCGAAAACUAUUUAAAUAAUAGGAAAACAACAAAAUGCUUGAAAUAAUGGCAAACAAAAGUCAACGAAUUCAAAUACCAAUUAAGAUAUAAUAGAAUUGAACACCACUCCAUAAACAAUAUUCCGCAAGUUUCGACAAAGUCAGUUAGUGACAAAUAUCACAAUGUCUUAAUGUCUCCAAGUUGUUUAUAUAUAAAUGGUAUUAUUUGUACUGAAUUAUUAUUUGAAGAAAUUUCUAAUUAAAAAAGGAUGCUAUGAUAUUUUUCAAUAAAUGUAGUUUACUCAUUCAUCCGAGCGAUCCAGUAAGUUAGGAUACGUUAUACAGUUUGGUCUACAUUAAAAUUCCUUAGUUUGGAAUUCUAUUUUCCACAUUGACAAUUCUUCAAAAUAAAGAAUGACAUAGUUUUGGGCAUCCGAGUUUAUAAUUAGAGUGUGACUUGUGCAGUAUGAAGAGAGAACCAAACUAUACAGUGCCAAGUAGAAGGAUAUCAAGACAUGUCAGCACUACAUAGGAAACAAGUUUGCUUCUCAAGAGAAAGACAAACAACACCCCAGUUAACACAUAGCUAGAUGUGCUACAAAAUUUCAAGCAAACAUUAAACUGUUCCCUUUAUACCAAGGCUAUGGCACAAAAUGUGAAGAACGAGUAAAUAGACUGCAAUCAUUGAAAAAUUUCAACCACGCCUAUAUGGGAGCAUAUAUUCAAUUCUAAUUACAGUUUUAUUCAAUCCAAUUUUAUACACUCAAUCAUAAACCAUUUGGUUUAUAUACAAAUAGUCUAUAUGUAAGUAAGUCACUUUAACUUCACAUAAAUGGGGAAUGAACUACCCUGAUUCCAAUAGUGGUUUAAAAUUUAGGCAUAAAUCAAGCAAUUACGACGAAUGAUGUAAGUCAAUUACAGCGACCCUAGUACUCAACUGGAAAUUACUUUAUCAACCAUGAAAGAAUGAAUGGCAAAUUGGACCUCGACGGAUAUUGAACUUUGAACGUACUGACGGAUGAAAUGCCCCUAAAAAUUUUGAUUGGUGUCCUAGCAAUUCUGCCAUCUCGCUGCCGUAUCCCCUGCUUCUAAUAAUAUCAAUAAUUUAUUACCUACCCCCAGCUUAAUUUACAUACUGAACAUCUGAACUGCUAUCAACAUCGAAUAACAAAAAUCAUUAUGGUAGCAUGAAAUCACACCUUAAUUACAAAUUACUUUGUCAUGAAUAAAUUAGUAAAGCGAAACCGCAUAAUUGUAUGCUAUUUUAUUUCACAAGUAUAUUUUGAACAUAAACAUUUUAAUGAACUUCCCUUUGUAUUCUUAUUAUAAUCCAUCACGUGGAGAUUAUCUAUAACUUUCAAUAUAUGGUGGGGCUCCAGCAUGAUCACAACCGCAUGGCUGAAACGAGUAAAAGAGUCAAAGCGUAUAAGUAUGUAUGUGUGUGUAUGUGUGUGUGUGUACAUACACAACCUCAUAUAUCGCCGUCGUCGGCACCACUCGUGUCCGAGUUUUGUUCGUCCGGUGAUUCCAUGAUGUUUAAAACUGAGAUGGCUCAGUAGACCAAGUCGGGAUAGAACAGUCCUGGGGAUUCCAUCACAUGCAGGGCAUGUGGUGGUCUUGUUUGGAGUUGGCAGUCCUUGCAAUUCCUUCUUUUCCCUUCUUCCGUGUUUCUCGAGAUACACACACAAACACACAAAAUACAUACACACAUAUAUGGGUAGAUAUAUUGAUAGAUAAGAGAGGGGAAUAUGUAUAUAUGUAUACACGUAUACUUUGUUACAAUACCUUUAACAUGGAAUACAAUUCAUUGUGCACAUUAUGUUUUAUCUCCAUCUGACGCAAUUAGCAGUGUCAUUCACAUUUACGCACACACAAACCACACACACAUACACACGCACAAAUACUGAUAUAUCACAUGCAUGGUCACACGCACACACACCUUAAAUUGUUAAUAUUCUCAGAAGUAUUCUUGCAAUAAUUUAUGUUGGUACAAAAUACAAUGUUAUCUGCUUUGUAAAUGUGUUAAUCUGUUUCUGAUUUCUGUGCGAUUGCGAUAUUUGACGCGAUUGUUUUAGUUCUCACCAAGUAACGUUAAGAAUGUGAACGCUGAAUAAUGUUGUAUCGAAACAGAAACCAUUCUGUGCUAUAUGACACAUCCAUUAAUCCUCUCAGUUAUAAAAGAAGCCUAACCCACAUCAUUUUAUAGUAAUCAGCCAUUUGCACGUCAUCCGUCAAGUCAAAAUUUCCUCAUCCAUCAAAUGAUCAAAUAUUUUAGAAAACUAUAUAAAAUAUUUGCUAGAUUGAUUAAUCCUUAAUUAUAUGUUCGUUUGUAAAAAAUUCGAGCCCAUUAAAAAGAGUAGUCAUUAAAUUCUUCAGUCUUCCGUCACGAGAUCCACGAUGUUCGAUCUCGUUUCAAAUCAUUUCCUUCUUUCCAUCUCAUUUUAUAUAAUUAUAUAUUUAUAUUUUUAUUGUAAUUCAUUUUUCAAUUUAUUUCAAUGUCCCAACUGACAAUCACAAUAUUGAUGAAAAAUUUAUUGGACUAUCUCCGCGCUAGUGGACGUCAUUUUGGAUAUUGCAUCCUCUUGCAAGUUGCCUCACCCUACAUUAAUCAUCCGACCGAUUAGUUCCAGCUUUAUUUGCAAAGGAACAAGUAGUUAUCAAUUUCUAAUCGAGCAGUGCACAUUGUCUCUGAUGUUCAUCCUCUUAUCUGAAACCAUUUCUCUGAUGUUAUUACCGACAAACGGAACUCUUACGCUACCAGCUAACAAGAGCGUUUAUUCGUAAUUCGCUCCACAAGCCAAAUUUUACGAGAAAACAAAAACAAGGUGUGUUGGGAAAUAAAGAAUUGAUCGGAAAAAUAUUCACUAUUGAGACAUUUUUAAAACCUGUUUAUAUGAGGCAGUUAACACUUCUCAUUUGCAAAUUUUCUCCUUAUUCUGGUAAAAAUAAAUGCCUCCCUGUUUUAAAACUUAAGAAAGCAUUAGAAGCAAUCGAGAGAAAAUUUACUAAUUGUACUGUUAGUAAUGCGAAAACAAGAUAAUUGAAAUAUGCGCACUUUAAUACCUUGCAAUUGUUUGUUAAAAUACUCUGAGCGGGUCAAAUGGAAACGUUACUCUGUUUACUUUUCUUUUGUUGUCUUUAUCAUUUAAUAUAUAUUAUUGCUUCGUCACUACUUACGCAAAAACAUUUCAACGAUAGAAAAAAGUUUAUCAUUUAAUAUCAUGAUCAAUGAUUAGACUUGGACGAUAUUUGAAAAUAUUAUACUUCCAAUACUUGUGGUGAAAUUUAUUUGGAGUAUUUUUCGAGACAUCCAUCGUAUUAUUACCUAUUUUAUAUCAAAUAGUUGGAGACAGAGUGAUGUAAAGUUGUACAAUAAUUGAAGAGCAUGGGAGAAGCUGCUCAGUAGUUAACAAUGUUUGUAAGUCACCGUUACAGAGCACUCUGUGGAUAAUAACAUGCACCAAGUAUUCAAGAAACAAAAAAGGGUUCUUAAAUACAAAAUAAUAAGCUAAAAAUGUUAUUUACAAUGCAACUGAAUUUCUCAUAAGAGAUGCGAAAUUAUUUUCUGAGAUAUAUAUAUAUAUGUGUGUGUGUGUGUGUGUGUGUGUUAUCUUUUAUCAUGUACAUGUUUCUGUCGUUAGACUGCAUCCAUGUUGGGGACACCGAUUUCAUGAAUUUUGUCGAAUAAACUCCAGUACUUCGUUUUUUAAAACCUGGUACCUAUUCUAGCGCUCGCUUUGGUCGAAACGCUCACGUACGGGAAAUACACUAUCACUGUUUGUCAAGCGAUCGUAGAGGGACAAAUGUAGACUCAAAGUCACACACAUAUGCAUAUAAAUAUAUAUAUAUACACGUACUUACAAAGACACACACACACACACACACACACACACACACACACAUAUAUAUAUAUAUAUAUAUAUAUAUAUAUAUAUAUAUAUAUACUCGGAAAUGGAUGCGUGGCGUUCAAUCAUAUCAUAAUAUAAAUAAUAUAUAUAUGCGUAUAAUUUCACCGUUCUCUGACUGUCCCUCUCUCUCUCUCACUCAUUCUUCCUCCUUUGAUCUCUCGUUGUUCGUACGUGAUCAUCGGCUAUAUUGUUUCCUUCCUUUCCUAACUUAAGUUUCUUUCUUUCUAUCUGAUCAGCUGCAGGGAUAAGACGCAUUCUUGUCUGCCUUCUGUCUAAGCUUAUUCCACAAGCGUUUACCACAACUCACCUCGUUUAGGCUAAGCAGCCCUUCGCCUUUGUUUUCACUGUCCUGCGUUUUUAUCAAAUUUGACCCUCUGCAAAAUCCCAAAUAUUAUUUAAUUUGAGGGAGCAGCUGUUUUAACGAAGGCGUAUCUUGUCAUGAAUUGUUAGGAAUAAGGAGUAGAAAACAGCCGACAACCGAUGAAGAGUCGUUCUUUAUGAAGCUUGUCUUGUUUUCUAUUUGCUUCUUUCGUUGUUUGCAAAAUAAUUUAAUAUUCCAUCAAUUCGUAUUUAGAAUUUCAUGUUGUUUACGUUCUGUGACGUUCCUAGUCUAUAUGUGCAUGUGUAUAUGUAAGUAUGUACAUAUAUAUGUUUAUAUGCAUAUGUAUAUAUAUAUAUAUAUAUAUUAUUUAUAUUAUAUAUAUGUAUAUAUGUAUGUAUAUAUGUAUAUAUAUAUAUAUAUAUAUAUAUAUAUAUAUAUAUAUAUAUAUAUAUAUAUAUAUAUAUAUAUAUAUAUAUAUAUAUAUAUAUAUAUAUAUAUAUACACUUAUAGUAUGAGAAUUUUUGGUGUCAAGGAGACCCAAAGGAGAGAGGUAAUGCUGAGUAAGUGCCAUGCUGAGUAAAACUAUAGUUAAGCUCCACGUUCGAUAAUGAUAGGAAUGAGGAGUCGAACGUAGGUCAUGUAUUAUGCAUAUAUAUAUAUGAAUUAACAGAAUGAGAUACAAAUUCAAGGCUGUAAUUAAUUUUCAUACUAUUUCUGAAGAGAAGGUCUUACAACUGUUUCCGGAAUAUUUUAUAUAUACCUUCAUCAGAGUCAGUGUGAGAAAAUGUUUAAGUAAUAGUUAUCAUAGAGAAGAUCUGAAAUGCAAAGUGAAGAGGAAGAAUGAAAACAGACGUGAAAUACGUAAGGAAAUUUUAUCUCACGUCUAUUUUCAUUCCUCCACUUCACUCUGUAUUUCAUAUCUUCUCCAUAAUAACUAUUACUUAACCAUUUUCUCACACCAUCUCUGAUGAAGUGAUAUAUAAAAUAUCCCGGAAAUAUGUGUAAGACCUUCUCUUUAUCAAUAUUCUGAAAAGUAUUCACAGCUUUGGAUGUUUAUCUCACUCUGUUAUUUUAUACAUACAGAUACAUACAUAUAUAUAUAUAUAUAUAUAUAUAUAUAUAUACACGUAGGUGCAGCCAAUUAACUAGUGUUAUCUGCAGAAUCUAUAGCGAAAAGUGGAAUGUUUGCAAUACAUUAAGCAGCCGGUAGUUUAAGUCUAAUAUCUGUCCCAUAAAUGUUGUCUGACAGAUAUGUACGCUUACUAUGUAUAACUAUCUAGUGGGGGAACUUGUACGCGUAUUUAUGAGUGUAUGUAUAUGCAUGUAUAUAUAUGCAUGUAAAUAUGUAUAUUCGUGUGUUUGUGUGUGUACAAAUAUACGUGCAUUUUUAGAUAUGUACGUGAUUACUUACGUGUAUUUGUGAAUAUACAUACAUCUAUUAUGUUUCCCUUUUAUGAUGUUUUACCUUAAAAUUUCUUUUGAUGCUGUUUCCUCAAUUCAUUUGAUUACUGAAAUAUAUCUUUAUUUUUAUUCCAGGUACCUGGAACCUGGUAAUAGAUGAAAUUGAUGAAUGUGUCAAAUUGCUAUACCAUAAAGAUCUAAAUCUUUGAACAAUAUUCGCUGACAUUAUGAUUAAAA